GGGAAGGGUUGGCAAACGUGAGAUCUUACAAGAUCACAGACCAUGCACUAUACAAGGAUUGCAGUGCAGCCAUGCUGAAACACGAGACGCCUGCCGCCAGUUGCAAACCAACCCUUUCAUGUCCCGAGUUUGCACGUGUGUCGACCAUGACGACUAAUGAAGAUCCUGCCAGCUGUGCAAGGAGAGGGAGGCAUUGAGAUGGGAAGUGAUGCCAUCCGCACCCGGACUGAAAUAACACCUCCGGGCCACCCAGGUCACUUUCCUGCUCGUGUCUCACCAAACACCACAGCUCACAACUCCAUAGGAAACACGAAGGAAAAACCUCCCUGCGCACGCCAGAUAAGUAGGACAUGUGAGACACUGCGUGAACACUGGGAAUUGCAGCAAUUUACCGACAUUGAAAAAUGCAUUUGUUCAGGCACUGCUUCUUCUGGAUCACUAUAGUCACUUUCAUCUGUAGUUACCAGAAAAUCUCCCCUGUGAUCGUGUUUUCCUUCUUUUUUUGAUCACGUGGUCUUCUGGUCGCCUAUUUUUACUAAAGCAAUCGUUUCACAUGGGGGGAAGUGCAUGUCCACAGAAGGCCUCAAACACAGAUAGUAAAAACAGUACAUGUUUAAAGAUAUAGAUUCUUGGUGUGUUUGUGGAUAAUAUACCCAUAUCAUACUCUGUCCUUGAGAAAUGAAAUAGUGCUACUUCAGAUCUCAGUGUGAAUGGUGAGCAAUCCAGUGUCAUGAUAAUAUCGAAAGGGACAAUUAGCUCUCUAAGAAUCAAGCUCAAGGGAAGUAAAGGUGCUUUUGUGUACUGCCACACGUUACUGGAAGAGCUGAGUUCUGAUCAGCGAUCCUCUUGAAUUGAGCAUUUACAGGUCACAUUAUAAGUUUGUUAAAUGUACGUGUAAACCAUGUGUAAACAAUCCAA